ensembl:piRNA 21ur-247 ncRNA
UUCGACCUGCAAUGACAAAUC